rnacentral:rRNA from 1 species
UGGGGGAUAUUGCACAAUGGGGGGAAACCCUGAUGCAGCGACGCCGCGUGAGGGAAGAAGGUUUUCGGAUUGUAAACCUCUGUCUUGUGGGACGAUAAUGACGGUACCACAGGAGGAAGCCACGGCUAACUACGUGCCAGCAGCCGCGGUAAUACGUAGGUGGCAAGCGUUGUCCGGAAUUACUGGGUGUAAAGGGAGCGUAGGCGGGAAUGCAAGUUGAAUGUUUAAACUAUCGGCUCAACCGAUAAUCGCGUUCAAAACUGCGUUUCUUGAGUGAAGUAGAGGCAAGCGGAAUUCCUAGUGUAGCGGUGAAAUGCGUAGAUAUUAGGAGGAACACCAGUGGCGAAGGCGGCUUGCUGGGGCUUUUACUGACGCUGAGGCUCGAAAGUGUGGGUAGCAAACAGGAUUAGAUACCCUGGUAGU